rnacentral:rRNA from 1 species
GAUGAACGCUGGCGGCGUGCCUAAUACAUGCAAGUCGAGCGAACAGACGAGGAGCUUGCUCCUCUGACGUUAGCGGCGGACGGGUGAGUAACACGUGGAUAACCUACCUAUAAGACUGGGAUAACUUCGGGAAACCGGAGCUAAUACCGGAUAAUAUAUUGAACCGCAUGGUUCAAUAGUGAAAGACGGUUUUGCUGUCACUUAUAGAUGGAUCCGCGCCGCAUUAGCUAGUUGGUAAGGUAACGGCUUACCAAGGCAACGAUGCGUAGCCGACCUGAGGGGGUAGUCGGCACACCUGGACUGGAACACCGUGCCGACCUCCUACGGGGGGAGGAGGGUGGAAAUUUUCCGAAUGGGGCGAAACCUUACGGGGCCACCCCCGGUUGGUGAAGUAAGUUUUUGGGUUCGAAAACCUUUUUUUUUGGGAAAAAAAAAAUGGUUAGUAAACUGUCCCGGUUUGAACUGUACUUAAUCAAAAGCCCCCGGCAACCUCGGU